rnacentral:rRNA from 1 species
GAUGAACGCUGGCGGCGUGCCUAACACAUGCAAGUCGAACGGACCCUUCGGGGUUAGUGGCGCACGGGUGAGGAACACGUAGCUUACCUGCCCUUUACACUGAGAUAACUCUGCGAAAGC